AUUCUUGGUCAUUUAGAGGAAGUAAAAGUCGUAACAAGGUUUCCGUAGGUGAACCUGCGGAAGGAUCAUUACAGAGUUCAUGCCCUCACGGGUAGAUCUCCCACCCUUGAAUAUUAUACCUUAGUUGCUUUGGCAGGCCGUGGAAACACCAUGGGCCUCGGCUUAUGCGUGCCUGCCAGAGGAAACAAACUCUGUUUUUAGUGAUGUCUGAGUACUAUAUAAUAGUUAAAACUUUCAACAACGGAUCUCUUGGUUCUGGCAUCGAUGAAGAACGCAGCGAAAUGCGAUAAGUAAUGUGAAUUGCAGAAUUCAGUGAAUCACGAAUCUUUGAACGCACAUUGCGCCCCGUGGUAUUCCGCGGGGCAUGCCUGUUCGAGCGUCAUUUCAACCCAUCAAGCUUCGGCUUGGACUUGGGGCCUGCGGUCUGCCGCAGCCUCUAAACUCAGUGGCGGUGCUAUUGAGCUCUGAGCGUAGUAAUUUUUCUCGCUAUAGGGUCUCGGUAGUUACUUGCCAGUAACCCCCAAUUUUUAUCAGGUUGACCUCGGAUCAGGUAGGGAUACCCGCUGAACUUAAGCAUAUCAAUAAGCGGAGGAAAAGAAACCAACAGGGAUUACCUCAGUAACGGCGAGUGAAGCGGUAACAGCUCAAAUUUGAAAUCUGCCGCAAGGCCGAGUUGUAAUUUGUAGAAGAUGCUUUGGGUAUGGCCCCGGUCUAAGUUCGUUGGAACACGACGUCAUAGAGGGUGAGAAUCCCGUAUGUGACUGGGUGCUUUUGCCUAUGUAAAGCUCUUUCGACGAGUCGAGUUGUUUGGGAA
rnacentral:rRNA from 1 species